AGAGUUUGAUCCUGGCUCAGGAUGAACGCUAGCUACAGGCUUAACACAUGCAAGUCGAGGGGCAGCAUGGGCUUAGCUUGCUAAGCCCGAUGGCGACCGGCGCACGGGUGAGUAACACGUAUCCAACCUGCCGAUUACUCCGGUACAGCCUUUCGAAAGAAAGAUUAAUCCCGGAUUGUAUGGCGAUUCCGCAUGGUUUCUCCAUUAAAGGUUUUUUCCGGUGAUCGAUGGGGAUGCGUUCCAUUAGGCAGUUGGCGGGGUAACGGCCCACCAAACCUACGAUGGAUAGGGGUUCUGAGAGGAAGGUCCCCCACAUUGGAACUGAGACACGGUCCAAACUCCUACGGGAGGCAGCAGUGAGGAAUAUUGGUCAAUGGGCGGAAGCCUGAACCAGCCAAGUAGCGUGAAGGAUGACUGCCCUAUGGGUUGUAAACUUCUUUUAUAAGGGAAUAAUUGCGGGUACGCGUACCUGUUUGCAUGUACCUUAUGAAUAAGGAUCGGCUAACUCCGUGCCAGCAGCCGCGGUAAUACGGAGGAUCCCAGCGUUAUCCGGAUUUAUUGGGUUUAAAGGGAGCGUAGGCGGGCGCUUAAGUCAGCUGUGAAAGUUUGGGGCUCAACCUUAAAAUUGCAGUUGAUACUGGGUGCCUUGAGUGCGGUAUAGGCAGGCGGAAUUCGUGGUGUAGCGGUGAAAUGCUUAGAUAUCACGAAGAACUCCGAUUGCGAAGGCAGCUUGCUGGAGCGUAACUGACGCUGAUGCUCGAAAGUGUGGGUAUCAAACAGGAUUAGAUACCCUGGUAGUCCACACAGUAAACGAUGAAUACUCGCUGUUUGCGAUAUAUUGUAAGCGGCCAAGCGAAAGCGUUAAGUAUUCCACCUGGGGAGUACGCCGGCAACGGUGAAACUCAAAGGAAUUGACGG
rnacentral:rRNA from 1 species